CUAUCUCGUAUCUCUCUCCACCGCUCACAGUAUGUUCUCAAUUCUUUUCCUUUUAUGUUCACCGCCGUCGCUCAAUCCCUCUUUUCUUAGGAGUUUUCGGUUGAACCUCACCUCUUUCUCAUCCUUUUUUUUUCUUUAAUGUUGCUGCUCUGCUCUCAAUUUUCUUCAUCGCCGCCGCCGAGCCUAUCUUUUCUGCCCGCCGAAAAUAUAAACAAAGAAUCUAAGCCAGCAACCCCUUUCUUCUCCAAAUCGUCGUUGUCUACCCAGAUCUUCAUACGACGCCGUUGAAGCUUUACUUCCUAACAUUACUUCUCCCUAAAUUUAUCGAUUCAUCUCUCUCGCUUCACAGUUCAGACUCGUCUCCUCUUAUAUGCUCUUUCCUUUUUGGUCGCCGUAUUUGAAUUGAUGCGGGCUAGUUGAUUUCUAGCUUUUUGUUUGGGAUUCAAUUUGUAAUUGCAAUAGCCCUAAAUUGCUAUCCAGUUUGUAUUUGAUCCUAAUGAUGCCCUAAUUGGAUUACGCCCAAUUAGUGGACACCCUAUCGUAGUGGGUCUCGAUAGAUUUUUUUUUUUUUUUGAGGUGAAGGUCUCGAUAGAUUUAUAAAUGACUGAAAGUAUGAAGUGGUUUUCAGAAUUUUUAUAGUGGUUUUCAUUAAUAUUUGUAUAGAUUUUUAUAUAAUUGUAUAUACAUAGUGGUUUUUAUAUUGACAUAGUUCUUAUGCAUAGUGG
rnacentral:lncRNA from 1 species